GACGAACGCUGGCGGCGUGCUUAACACAUGCAAGUCGAACGGUGAAGCGCCUUCCUUUUUGGUGGGUGUGGAUGAGUGGCGAACGGGUGAGUAACACGUGAGUAACCUGCCCCCUUCUUCUGGAUAACCGCAUGAAAGUGUGGCUAAUACGGGAUAUUCUGGGUCUGUCGCAUGAUGGGUCUGGGAAAGAUAUUGUUUCGGUGGGGGAUGGGCUCGCGGCCUAUCAGCUUGUUGGUGGGGUGAUGGCCUACCAAGGCGGUGACGGGUAGCCGGCCUGAGAGGGUGGACGGCCACACUGGGAGUGAGACACGGCCCAGACUCCUACGGGAGGCAGCAGUGGGGAAUAUUGCACAAUGGGCGCAAGCCUGAUGCAGCGACGCCGCGGGAGGGAUGGAGGCCUUCGGGUUGUGAACCUCUUUCGCCAGUGAAGCAGGCCUGCCUCGUUUGUGGGUGGGUUGACGGUAGCUGGAGAAGAAGCGCCGGCUAACUACGUG
rnacentral:rRNA from 1 species